rnacentral:rRNA from 1 species
CCUACGGGAGGCAGCAGUAGGGAAUCUUCCACAAUGGGCGAAACCCUGAUGCAGCGACGCCGCGUGAGUGAAGAAGUAUUUCGGUAUGUAAAGCUCUAUCAGCAGGGAAGAAAAUGACGGUACCUGAUGAAGAAGCUCCGGCUAACUACGUGCCAGCAGCCGCGGUAAUACGUAGGGGGCAAGCGUUAUCCGGAUUUACUGGGUGUAAAGGGAGCGUAGACGGCAGCACAAGUCUGGAGUGAAAUGCCGGGGCUUAACCCCGGAACUGCUUUGGAAACUGUGCAGCUAGAGUGCAGGAGAGGUGAGUGGAAUUCCUAGUGUAGCGGUGAAAUGCGUAGAUAUUAGGAGGAACACCAGUGGCGAAGGCGGCUUACUGGACUGUAACUGACGUUGAGGCUCGAAAGCGUGGGGAGCAAACAGGAUUAGAUACCCUGGUAGUC